rnacentral:tRNA from 1 species
AGGGAAUUAGCUUUAGUGGUAGAGCGCUCGCUUAGCAUGUGAGAGGUACAGGGAUCGAUACCCCUAUUCUUCA